CUCCUGCUGACGAGUCCCAAAUAGGACGAAACGCGCUUCAAACUGGAU
rnacentral:hammerhead_ribozyme from 1 species